CGAAGGUCUCUCGGAGAGGAAGAUGGGGAAAGUUUGGAAAAUUGGAUAAUCCUUGUUGAUUUUUUAAUCGUUAAUUCUGCAUUCUCUAUUUUUUAUUUAAUUUAUCAGAUCGAUAUUUUCACGAGAAUUUACGAGUCGUUGGUCAGAGAACGAUACUUUAAUAAACCUAUAUUCGAUGCAUCGUGCAUAAGAGAACUUCGAACGUAUAAUAAAUCCUUGUUGAGACUUAUUGUUCCUUGGGGGCCCGACGCGAGGAAGAGAACAAGUAAAAGAAGAAAUCUUCAUAAUAGAGACUCCUACGGAACCUUCGUGAACAAAUGUGAGAACAUCGAAGCCGCUUGUUACCGAAGGAUUCAUGGUGCUUCGACAGAAUGGAGCUUCUAGAACUCUAUUUAAAUUCCUUUACACCGUGUAACCGUGAUUAAGUACAAAUUAUCUUGUAAUUGAUGAUUUUUGUGCAAAAGAAAAGUAAGUAAAAAAUUGGAUAAAGUUGUAAAUUUUA